AACUAUUUUGAAAACAGCGAUUUAACCCUCUUGUGGCGCAGUAGUAGCGUCUCUACCUCUGGAUCAGGAAGCCCGGUUCAAGUCCCACCUGCGCCAGAAGUGCGUAGGAACAUCUUUAAACAGGGUGGUUAGAAAAAUAGAGAUAACAAGGUGUAGAGCUGGAUGAACACAGCAGGCCAAGCAGCAUCAUAGGAGCAGGAAGGCUGACGUUUCGGGCCUAGACCCUUGUUAUCUCAGAUUUUCCAGCAUCUGCAGAUCCCACUAUCUCUGGUUAGAAAAAUAGGUUUACCAGGCUUGCUGCAUAAUGUCAUAGCAAGGAAUCGAUACGUGUUGUAAACUCCAUCUAGUCGUCAUGGGUUCCUGUAUGAGAUGAUGAGUUUACAAAAUUGAAUGGUCAGCAAUUAACAGAGCAGGUUGGAACUGCAAGCAAGUUUCAGAUCCAGGGCUACGUCCUGUUGUUUGCCCCAGAAAAAGCCAGACGUUCUCUCCUGAAUAAAACCAGUUACCUUUCCUGCAGUACUUGUGAUGAGCUGUGACUUCUGAAUUGGCCUCAGACCCUUAACUACCGUCCCAACACCUCUCCAGCUUCAAGGCACUCGUGAAAACCUGGCUGUGACAAAGCAUAAAGAGGAAGCUGAACGAUUGCAAAGCGAAAACGAUACGAUCAAGCUCAACUUGGCAAAUCUUUGUAAAGAAGUUUAAAGCGUGAAGCCACUGAAGCACAACAGAGUAACCUUCCAGAAGGCAUUAGUCACUGUUCAGAUUGCAAAGGUCUAGGAAUAUACAGGAUGCUGUCCUCACCAGCUGAAAGCCGGGGACAUGCUUUCUCUCCAACGUUGUGGAACGGGACUGUGUGUCACAGACAGAAUGUCUACACUCCCAUAUGCCACAUGGACAGAGCCAGACAAGAGCAACCUUGCUGGAUGACCACGUUGGGUUUUCAAUUUCUGAAGUCAUGCAAGAGAAAAAGAAAAUCACCUUCACCACAGUGCAUUUAAUUUCAGCAUUCCUGGUUUACAGCCUCUACCUCAUUCGGGAUGGAUAAAAUACAGUCCUCACUGCAGAACAAGCACAGUUCAUCAAAUAAUUACAAUGAACCUUGAUCACUUAUCACAGAACGAUAUAAUCUUAUCUUCACAACAGUCCAGACCAAACAUCUCUAAUAUGUUCCAAUUCACAAUUAACUGUACCCUGCAUGGUUUAUCUCCUCAGUCACCUUACACACUGAGAAGGUCUAGGAAUAUACAGGAUGCUGUCCUCACCAGCCCGAAAACCGGGGACACAUAUGCUCUCCAACGUUAUGGAAUCGGACUGUACGUCAUAGACCCCAGAGGCCUACGCUCCCAUGCGCCACAUGGACAGAGCUAGACGAGAGCAACCUCGCCAGAUGCCCACAUUGGAUAUAUAACGGAAACACAAGCCCACUGUUGAACUUUAUUUAUAAAAAUGGUAAUUGUUAACUGGAAAAAUCAACAGAUUUUUAUUGUGCAAUAGAGCUAAUGUACAAGGAAUAUUCACAUAAAUGCUUACCUCUAUC